rnacentral:rRNA from 1 species
AUUGAACGCUGGCGGCAGGCCUAACACAUGCAAGUCGAGCGAGCGGCGGACGGGUGAGUAAUGUCUGGGAAACUGCCUGAUGGAGGGGGAUAACUACUGGAAACGGUAGCUAAUAACGCAUACCAUCGGAUGUGCCCAGAUGGGAGUAGCUAGUGGGGGGGGAAAAGGCUCACCAAGGCGACGCUCCCUAGCUGGUCUGAGAGGAUGAACAGCCACACUGGAACUGAGACACGGCCCAGACUCCUACGGGAGGCAGCAGUGGGGAAUAUUGCACAAUGGGCGCAAGCCUGAUGCAGCCAUGCCGCGUGUAUGAAGAAGGCCUUCGGGUUGUAAAGCACUUUAAGCGGGGAGGCGUUACCCGCAGAAGAAGCACCGGCUAACUCCGUGCCAGCAGCCGCGGUAAUUC